AUGAUCCAUGUUAAAAACCCAAAACUUGAAUGUUAUUGAUCACGUAGACCAUAACAGGCACUAUACAAAAUUUUGGGGUGAACAACAGUGAACAACAUGAUGAUGAAAAUUAAGAUUAAAUGAUGAAGCACUACAAAAAUAUUACCGUGAGUCAUGCAACAUAGUUCACGGAGCGUGACACAUUUCUAUAAGAACGUCACAAUACUAUACAGACAUUUGAUUAUCUGGAGGGUAGAAUAAUGAUGAAAUUAAAUAUUUAAUUUACAAUUUUACAAUCAUGCACUAUCUGGUAAGGGAGUUCAUCGUACUUAGGUGUCAUCAUACCUAUUUGGUAUUAAGUAUUCGUUAAGCUGCAAUGUUUGUGAUGUUUUUUUUUAGACAUUUAAAAUUAUCUAUUUUCAUUAUAAAUAUUGAACACCGAUUCCGAAUUGAUACUGUUGGAACAUGUCAUGUCUACCCAUCAUUAAAGGCAUUACGAGAUUUAAUUCGA